AUUGAAGCAAAGAAGAAAAGCAUCAAUCUAACAGCUGACAGACGACAGCCGACGACACCUUCUGUCCUUAAAUCCUCGUUAGCUCCGUCGCUCAUAAUCUAACCGUACAGCUGCAGCUCAGUGGGAGAAUCACAAACUGAAAUCUCACCAACAGAAAGCAGCAGAAACAGAACCAGUUCCACUCAGACCAAUAAAGCAGAAAAUGAGAAAUUACACUACUGAAAUGAAACCUGCAACAUGACAUCAGCGUUAACUGAUGCAUCU